rnacentral:rRNA from 1 species
CCUACGGGAGGCAGCAGUGAGGAAUAUUGGUCAAUGGCCGGAAGGCUGAACCAGCCAUGCCGCGUGAAGGGCAGGGCCCUAUGGGCGUUAAACUUCUUUUGUGCGGGAGCAAUAAUGGUCACGUGUGGCCAGACGAGAGUACCGUACGAAUAAGCAUCGGCUAACUCCGUGCCAGCAGCCGCGGUAAUACGGGGGAUGCAAGCGUUAUCCGGAUUUAUUGGGUUUAAAGGGUGCGUAGGCUGUGAGGUAAGUCAGCGGUGAAAUGCCCGCGCUCAACGGGGUGAAGUGCCAUUGAUACUGCCUUGCUUGAAUGCGGAUGCCGUGGGAGGAAUGUGUGGUGUAGCGGUGAAAUGCAUAGAUAUCACACAGAACACCGAUUGCGAAGGCAUCUCACGAAUCCGCGAUUGACGCUGAUGCACGAAAGCGUGGGUAUCAAACAGGAUUAGAUACCCCUGUAGUC